rnacentral:misc_RNA from 13 species
CAAGCUGAAGCAAUUAACUGAAAAUGUAGCAGGGAGAAGAACAUGGCCCAACUGGAACAGCAAAUGCCAUGCGAUGCAACUAGCAUAAACAAACUCAGACGACUCCGUGAUUAGGACGUGUUGUACCCAAACGCUCUAAAUGCAGACGAUAUGGGCACAACAUGGCCUCAGCACAGAUACGACAUUUCUAUAACACACCAACAACAAUUUCUUCAACAACAACACGACAACCUUUACAACAACAGCAGCACACGAACAACUGCAACUGCAUCAAUCGGAAGCAAUUUCAAAACGAUACGUUUCUGUGCCACACACAAACACAAAGCGAAUCAGAGGCAGCAGCAGCAGCAACAGCAACAUUAUGCCAGUCAACACUUGCGGAAGCAGCAACAUCAGCAACAGGAGCAACUGCAACUGCAGCAGCAACAGAUGAUGUACCAGCCAGCGAAUGUCCGCAGUCCUGGACCACAGAUGAGAACUCAGCCAGCGAUAGAGACACCCAGCACAGGAUGCGCAAUCCUUUGGACGACAUUGCUGCAGGCUGCGAUGUUGCUGUUCUUCCUGUCGUGCAGCAACAGCAGGACCUGGCUGAUCCUGCUGCCCCUUUGGUCGCUUCUACAGGGAUUUCGGAGCAGGAUCGCCUCGCCACGAGCACUUGCCUAUCACGCCUAUCUUCCAAAGUCAGUCAGGACUCUACGAAACAACAACGAAAGCUCUUUCAACACGGCGAAGCCACAAAGGACUACGCUGCUGCGGCUUCAACGACUCCGGCAGUCGGCAUCCUUACGGAUAUGCAAAAGUUUGCACGCUCUAUAUUUCCGCUGGUUAUCAUCUUCAAUCUGCUGCCUUUAUUCUAUGCAGGCGGUGCUCAUUUAAAGUCGAACGGCGCCGACGGAGAGCCUUGGAUGCAGCCGGUGGUGGCCUAUUUGGAGGUGUCGUCGCGACCCACGAAAUCGCCAAAGUGUGAUCAGACAUUCGUGUCGCGGAUCGGCGGACCCCAGAAUGGCAGCUUCUCGGCCCCGCUGCUGCACAACCAUCGCAAUCACUCGCGCCAAUGCCUCUACACCUUCCUAGCAGGACCUGGUCAGCGCGUCGAAGUAGUUUUUAAAUCGUUUAAUUUAAGAGGAAGUCCGCCAGACGGUUCGGCCGUCGGUGAAUUACCAAGUUGUGUUCAUGAGUACAUGGAUAUCUACUCGGAGGUGCAGUCGUCGGAGCCAGCGGAACUGAUCAAUUCGCCAUUCGGUGGCCGCUACUGCGGCACCAUUCCGCCGCGUCGUCGCAUUUCCAUGUAUCGGGCAGUUGCGAUUUCUUUUUUUAGCAACAAGAACGUGACCACGGACCUGUUCGAGGGCACGUUUAGGUUUAUAAAUGCAUCGGAAUAUGAAAUUGGCAUACCCAUUGCGGGGUCGCCAUGUUCCUACACGAUAACGCCCAGCAUGAGCGUCAACAAAACUGGUGCGCUCAUAUCGCCAACCUAUCCAGGUGCCUAUCCGAAGGAUAUGUCAUGCACAUAUCAGUUUCUUGGUGAAUCGAAUCAGAGGGUUAGAUUAGAGUUUCGGGAUUUUGAUCUAUUUUUUGGUGGACCACACUGCCCAUUUGACUAUGUGAAAGUGUACGAUGGUCCAGAUAAUUCGUCAGCAUUAAUCGGUACAUAUUGCGGGCAGCAAAGAAACUUAGUUUUGUAUUCGAGCGAGUCGAGCCUUUUUGUUCAUUUUUAUACGUUAUCGCGCACCGCAAAUACCCAAAAUCGUGGCUUUAAAGGAAUUUAUGAAUUUAGCGAGAGUUUUGUUAAAUUAGAUUUUAUACGUGAAAAUGAUGGCAUUCACAUACGUGGCUCAGAAUGUGAUCAAAAGAUUUUAUCGAAGAAGGAAUCCACUGGCUUUGUGCUCUCACCCAACUAUCCCUAUCCCUAUAUACCAAAAACUGUGUGUAGAUAUUUCAUCUAUGGCAUGCAGGAUGCCCAGCAUCUGGAGCGUGUGCGUCUGGAGUUUAACGCUUUCAAUAUACCUAAGGUGGAGCACAAGGACAAGAGCGAGUCCAACUGCACGGACGGCUAUCUAAAGAUCUAUCUGAAGGGCCAGGAGACGGCCGAUGCCUACGACAAGUUCGACUACGAGUUGUGCGGCAAUGAGACGCAGCGGGUGAUCAGCGAGGGGCCGCGGCUGGCCAUGGUCUUCAGUUCGGGUGAGCUGCAGGGUCGUGGCUUCAAGGGCAAGUACACGUUCGAGACGGAGUACAAGAUACCGGGCACGGCGGCACCGGAUGGCACCUGCAGCUUCACCUACGUGAGCAGUUCCAAGAAGCGCGGCGAACUGAACAGUCCGAGAUACCCCUCCAAUUAUCCCUCGGACACGAAUUGCUCAUAUCUCUUUCUGGCCGAGGCCGAUGAGCAGGUGACCAUUGUGUUUGACCACUUCAAGAUCAAGGCGGACAACAAUGCAAACGCCACGGCCGGAGCUUACGGCUCUGGUGCCUGCUUCGAGGACUGGCUGGAGAUGUACGUCGUCUAUCGGGACAACAACGACCGCCUGCUGGGUCGCUACUGCGGUCAGACAGCCCCCGGACCCGUCGAGAGCCCGCGGGGAGCGGUGGGGCUGCGGAUCACCCUGCACACGGACCAGGAGAGCGUGGCCAGCGGCUUCAAGGCCCGCUACUUCUUCGAGUCGGCCAAGUCGGAUGCCGGCGACUGUGGCGGCAACUUCAGCAACCAGGACUCGGGCCUCAUCACCUCGCCCAACUGGCCGGCGGGCUACAAGGCACCUGGUCGGGGCAUGGCCUCCAACGCCUGCAACUGGGUGAUGAAGGCGCGCCCCGGCUACAAGCUGUCCAUUCACUUUGAGCAGUUCGGCCUGGAAGGAGACCCAGCCAAUCGCGGCUGUCCUGCCGCUGUGCUACGGCUGUGGAUGAACGUGGACUCCGACCAGCCGCCGCUGGAGCUGUGUGGCGAGAAGCCGCCCGUGGAGCAGUGGCACUAUACCUCCACUGGCCAGACGGCGCGCAUCAGCUUCACCACCAGCGACAAGACAGUGGGAGCCCAGGGCUUCCGCAUUGUGUGGACCGAGAUACAGGACUCCGGUCCGGGUCCGCCGUCCGUGGGUCUGCACUGCGAGUCGACGUACCACUUCCAGUGCGGAGCCGGAUACUGCAUCUCCGAUAAGCUGCGAUGCGACGGGGUCAAGAACUGCGGACCCGGCGACGAUACUGACGAAUUGCACUGUGAGUCGUACCACGGAAGCGGCCGAGGAGGACUACGACGUCCUAAUUAUAAUAACGCUUCUCGUCGUCUCGUCCCUAAUCUGUCUCCUAUGCAUACUCUGUCACUCCAGAAGAAGCCGUAGGAACCAUGUCCGCCAACUGGGCCUACAUCGGAAUGCACAUUACGACUCGCAGACCAGUGCCACGGCGGGUCUCAGCUCCAGUCGCAGGCAUCUGCAGAGUGGUGGCGCCAGCAUUGCGGGCAGUUUGCAUGGGAUCAACAGCGGCAAC